AGAGUUUGAUCCUGGCUCAGGAUGAACGCUAGCGACAGGCUUAACACAUGCAAGUCGAGGGGCAGCAUGAGGUAGCAAUACCUUGAUGGCGACCGGCGCACGGGUGAGUAACGCGUAUGCAACCUGCCCGAUACCGGGGUAUAGCCCAUGGAAACGUGGAUUAACACCCCAUAGUACUUUUAUCCUGCAUGGGAUGUGAGUUAAAUGUUCAAGGUAUCGGAUGGGCAUGCGUCCUAUUAGUUAGUUGGCGGGGUAACAGCCCACCAAGACGAUGAUAGGUAGGGGUUCUGAGAGGAAGGUCCCCCACAUUGGAACUGAGACACGGUCCAAACUCCUACGGGAGGCAGCAGUGAGGAAUAUUGGUCAAUGGACGUAAGUCUGAACCAGCCAAGUCGCGUGAGGGAAGACUGCCCUAUGGGUUGUAAACCUCUUUUAUAAGGGAAGAAUAAGUUCUACGUGUAGAAUGAUGCCUGUACCUUAUGAAUAAGCAUCGGCUAACUCCGUGCCAGCAGCCGCGGUAAUACGGAGGAUGCGAGCGUUAUCCGGAUUUAUUGGGUUUAAAGGGUGCGUAGGCGGUUUAUUAAGUUAGUGGUUAAAUAUUUGAGCUAAACUCAAUUGUGCCAUUAAUACUGGUAAACUGGAGUACAGACGAGGUAGGCGGAAUAAGUUAAGUAGCGGUGAAAUGCAUAGAUAUAACUUAGAACUCCGAUAGCGAAGGCAGCUUACCAGACUGUAACUGACGCUGAUGCACGAGAGCGUGGGUAGCGAACAGGAUUAGAUACCCUGGUAGUCCACGCCGUAAACGAUGCUCACUGGAUCUGUGCGAUACACGGCACGGGUUCAAGCGAAAGUAUUAAGUGAGCCACCUGGGGAGUACGUCGGCAACGAUGAAACUCAAAGGAAUUGACGGGGGCCCGCACAAGCGGAGGAACAUGUGGUUUAAUUCGAUGAUACGCGAGGAACCUUACCCGGGCUUGAAUUGCAACUGAAUGAUGUGGAGACAUGUCAGCCGCAAGGCAGUUGUGAAGGUGCUGCAUGGUUGUCGUCAGCUCGUGCCGUGAGGUGUCGGCUUAAGUGCCAUAACGAGCGCAACCCUUGCCGAUAGUUACUAACAGGUUAUGCUGAGGACUCUGUCGGGACUGCCAUCGUAAGAUGUGAGGAAGGUGGGGAUGACGUCAAAUCAGCACGGCCCUUACGUCCGGGGCUACACACGUGUUACAAUGGGGGGUACAGAAGGCAGCUACCUGGCGACAGGAUGCUAAUCCCAAAAACCUCUCUCAGUUCGGAUCGAAGUCUGCAACCCGACUUCGUGAAGCUGGAUUCGCUAGUAAUCGCGCAUCAGCCAUGGCGCGGUGAAUACGUUCCCGGGCCUUGUACACACCGCCCGUCAAGCCAUGAAAGCCGGGGGUACCUGAAGUACGUAACCGCAAGGAGCGUCCUAGGGUAAAACUGGUGAUUGGGGCUAAGUCGUAACAAGGUAGCCGUACCGGAAGGUGCGGCUG
rnacentral:rRNA from 1 species